rnacentral:rRNA from 1 species
GUGGGGAAUUUUGGACAAUGGGCGCAAGCCUGAUCCAGCCAUUCCGCGUGCAGGAUGAAGGCCUUCGGGUUGUAAACUGCUUUUGUACGGAACGAAAAGCCUCUGGUUAAUACCCGGGGGUCAUGACGGUACCGUAAGAAUAAGCACCGGCUAACUACGUGCCAGCAGCCGCGGUAAUACGUAGGGUGCGAGCGUUAAUCGGAAUUACUGGGCGUAAAGCGUGCGCAGGCGGUGAUGUAAGACAGUUGUGAAAUCCCCGGGCUCAACCUGGGAACUGCCAUUGUGACUGCAAGGCUAGAGUGCGGCAGAGGGGGAUGGAAUUCCGCGUGUAGCAGUGAAAUGCGUAGAUAUGCGGAGGAACACCGAUGGCGAAGGCAAUCCCCUGGGCCUGCACUGACGCUCAUGCACGAAAGCGUGGGGAGCAAACAGGAUUAGAAACCCCAGUAGUCC